rnacentral:misc_RNA from 1 species
AUGGUGAAAAUUAUUAUUGUAGCUUAAUACUCCUAUUACUACUUACUUUCGAGUGUCUCGGCCAUAAAAAUGUUACUUCGAUAUCCUUUCUAACAAACGAUGUCUACGAUUCAGUCAGUGAUGUGGUAAAUACAUAUUCAGUAAACUGUUUACACUCGUCCGAGUAAGUGGUUUGACCGCUAGACCAUCCAUUGAUACUGAACAUUGUAAUCAAGCAAGUGCAAGACGAUUAAGGUCACAUGACAGCAAUCUUCAAUUACGUCUGGUGGGGAGGGGACCCGGAAGAGCGAGAUAGCGCGACUGGCUUAUCCAGGAGAGAUGUUCACCUCAUCAAGAAAACCUGGCUUCUUCUCUACGCCAACCCCGUCAAAAACGGGAUGGAACUUUUUGUCAAGUAAAUAGGCUCUUUCGCGCCGUGCCUGAAACCCAGGACUUCUUCGCGACCAUCAAAGGGCUCCCCGAGGAAAGACUGGUGGUGAAGAACCAGUUCAAAGCCCAUGUGCUGAACUUCAUGUCUCACCUGAACCUGGCCGUGACCAAUCUUAAUCAACCAGAGAUCGUGGUUCCACUCAUGUAUAAACUUGGAAAGUCGCAUAGGAAUAUACGAAGAGAACAUUUUGAUACACUAACUCAAAUACUGUUGGGCACACUGAGAGAGUCCCUACAUGCCGGAAAUGAUGUCAUAGAAGCAUGGACCAGGUUCAUGACAUUCAUAUACAAACCACUUUUUGAAAGUAUAGCGGAGGAAUAACGAUAUAACCUAAUUAUUAAUAAUUAAAUAAAAAUCUGUGUUUUUGUUACGAUAUUUUAUCGAUGUAAGUAUUCAGAAGAUGCAUGACUAAUGAAUAUUUUGUAUUUUAGUGAUAGUGUUAGUAUGACAUAAUUUUAACCCACAAAAUUAUUAAAAUGGUAACAAUUCUUACAUAUGUAUUAAUAUAUGUUGUCGAUAUUUUCAUAGAAAUAGGAAUAGGUAAUAAAUUAUUCCAGUUCACAUUAGAUUUGCUACCUAUAUUCAUAUGACAUUUGCAUGUAACUAUGUAUGUGCAAAUCUUUUGAAAUAUAUCUGUAUCUAUAUAGUAAUACAAUAUAUUUUUAAUGAGAAAUGAAAUAAAUAGUUAUGACAUUGGUAGUAGCUUUUUUAUCAGUAUCUAUAAGAAAAUGAUUAAACAAAGACACAUAGUAAUAAUUAUUAUUAUGUAGGUAAUUGAUUUGGUAUAACCAAAUUAUGAUCAAGCUACCAGUUAUAAACACACGCCUUAAAAACUUUAUGUCCAGGUCAAUAACUUAAUCGCACUUUAAAUAUUUAGGCUAAUAAGAAUACAUUACUGACAAUAGUCUUCCAAAUUUAACUAAGUAAUAAGCGUUGAAAUUAAUGUAGGUAUCCAUUCAUACUAGUUACUUGAUCAUAAGUACUAUUUUGAUCUAUGUAAAUAAUAAAUAAUUUUAACAUAGAUAUGUAUAAAUUUAAUUUAAUAUUAAAAAUAUAAUCUUUAUGAGGUGUGGCGAUUAAAAAAUAU